rnacentral:lncRNA from 1 species
GGGAAAGAGGUGGCAUCGGCGGUUCAAGACUGAGUUUUCUAUCUCUUCAGUGCCUCUUUCAACAAUGAAGAUCAAACCAGGUUUUGUGCAAAUAUCUGCUGAGUGAACUACUUAUUUGAAAAUACAUCAUUGGUUAAUAUUCCCUUUUGCUCAUUGAAAUCUCAAAGACUACAGACCCCGCACAAGACAUUCUGACAUUCCCGUCUUUGAAAUGAAUGACAGCAAUGAUAAAUAUGGCUCACCUCCAGAGAUACAGAUCUCACAACUUCAUAUUUUUAAUAUAAAUUAUUAAUCUGAGGUGUGGUGCAAUUCCAUUAGAUGAAAGAGAUCUACACAUUCAGAAGCACAUGAUUCUUCCCCCUUCCAUGAUUCCAGUGGCCAAUAGACAAACUACAAUAAAGCCAUGCCCUGACUGGAUGUGCCUAACAUUUGUCUGGUGCUUAAAGGAGUUGGCUGCAUGCGUGGGAUGGAGAAGGAUUCAACAUUUAAUGGCAGUUAGAAUCAAAUUUUUAACUCAAGAAGGCAGAAGGAAUCCACCUAAAUAAAUGUUGGAAAGUCACCAAAAAUAGUUCUCCAAGUCAGAAGCGGUGCAAAAGCUGCCUCAGCUCUUGGUGGAUUUUCAAUUUCUCCCAGCCAUCUCUGUUUCGCUAAAGGUUUCUGAAGACAGUGGGGGAAGCUUUUUUCUCCUCCCCAUCCUGAUCACUAGUAUGAGAAGGGGUGCUAAUGGACCAGCCUUGGCCUUGCAGAUGAAGAUGAUGAAGGAAGAAGAUGUAUAAAGAACCUCUGAAAGAGUCCCAGUUUUACAUUUCAAAGUCUUUUUCCUUCUGUUGUUUAUUGUGUUGGGUUGGAGUGGAGGAUAUUUGAUGGAGAAUUGAUUCUGAAACUUGCCAAAAUAUGGAUAAUACUUUGCUCCUUUUCCAUUGUGGGUUAUCACAAAGAAGAGUUUCACUUUUAGUCAUCUAUUUACAGUCUAGAAACAGGAACAAACCCAAACCAAGCAGAAAAACAGAAAUAACCAAGAUCAAAACGGAACUAAAUGAAAUUGAAAUGAAAAAGUACAAAGAUAAAUGAAACAAAAACCUGGUUUAUUGAAAAGUUAAAUAAAAUUGAUAAUUCAAUGGU